CUCACCUCCCUGGGCAGCUGUGCCAGUGCUAAGGGAGACUUCAGCCUUCACAGCUGCUGAUGUUUGUUGCUUUUAAUCCAACAUGUGCUUGUAGAACCACAGGCUGUGAGCGUGGUAUUAGCAAGCAUGUGGAACCUUUGUGUCAUCUCCAGGGGAGAGCUGAGCCCUGUUGAAGGCAGAGGACAGAUGUCAUCCAGAGUUCGUUUCCUCUGCAUCAGAGAUGGUGAAAAGUAAUAUAAACACAGGAGAAAGAGAAGAAAGAACAGGCAGAGACGUUGGAAGCAACACGCAGUAUGUACAUUUGUGUGAAGUGUAUUUCAGCUAGAGCAGAUGAAUGCAUGUUAAUUCUGCUGCUGCAUUAUCCCGGUAACUUGUUAGCAUUAUUCAAAUCAGUCUUGUUUUGCUUAUGGAAAUGUGGGCACAAGAAGGUGUCCUUGUGGGGAAGAGGAGCUCGGUGGGUAGGGGUGGUCUCCCUGGCAUGGAGUCCUCAGUAGGGCAGUGCUGAGCAGACAAUGUAAGGAAAGCUUGACAAAUGUCAUUUGUUAGAGCAGAAACAGCAGAAAACCGAGGCCAUGAAAAA